UACGUAGGGAGCAAGCGUUGUCCGGAAUCAUUGGGCGUAAAGCGCGCGUAGGCGGCCUCAUAAGUCCGUUGUGAAAGUCAAAGGCUCAACCUUUGAAAGCCGAUGGAUACUGUGAGGCUAGAGUCCGGAAGAGGCGAGUGGAAUUCCUGGUGUAGCGGUGGAAUGCGCAGAUAUCAGGAGGAACACCAAUAGCGAAGGCAGCUCGCUGGGACGGUACUGACGUUGAGGCACGAAAGCGUGGGGAGCAAACAGG
rnacentral:rRNA from 1 species